ACACAGGGACAACCUCAUCUGUGUCUUAAAAGCACAAUAUCUUCAUGUUUUAGGUGAACGUCCUUAUUUCCCGAUGCCCUCAGAGCCCUCAGAUGCCCUCAGAGUGCCUCCAGGAGCGCCAUGUGCACCACAGUACACGUGGGACAACACUUUCAUGCAGCUCACACACUUCUUCCUGAUGUGCUCCAGUAAGUUCCCUUCCACUUGAUGGAACACCUCUUACCUAUCUAAGAAAUGCUUUCACGUGGUAAAAUAUACAGUUACAACGUUUCUUUUUUCUCACAUUCCCUUUGCAAUGCAGAAAACCCUGUGGGCUAUAAUGUUAGCAUGUUCUUUUUUUUUUUUUGCUUGCUGGAGUAAAUUGGUAAGAAGUAGUUCAAUUAUAAACAAAGUACGCUUCAAUCAAGCAAUCAUAUAAACAAGAACCCUUAAUAUUUACAGCAUGUUCUGAAAAUAUUUAUACAAAUGUAUAGGUUUGUACUGUAUUUAGGUUAUGGUUCAAGCUCAUUUCCUCCAUUUUUCUCACAGCUAAAAUGUCUGUUCUGUAUUUGGAACUUCAUAAGCGAUAGUGUUAAGUGAGAUCACGCUCACCAAUUAGUGCUUCCUUCCAAGCUUAGUAAUUCAAGUAGUGACAUAUUGCUCUUUAAAUCUGCCUAGAAUACAAAAAAGAAAUAAUCAAAUUCUCACCCAUCUUCCAUUCAAAUAAAGCUACAUCCUGCCUUUGCAGCCUUCCUAUGGUCCCUGAGGAAAUCUGUGUUAACCGUAUCUCUUUUUUUGUUAGCGUUCCCAAGGCAUUGUGUAUAAACAGUUCAGUAACUUCUGUUUAUCUGCACGUUACACAUUGUGUGUGAAUGGCCGCAGGGUAUAACACGGCAACAUAAAGACUCUGAGGUCAAACAUAAAUUUUUGAACAGGACUGGUUUUAAAUGCAAGUUAGAAAACGCGGCCUUUCCCAUUUGGCAAAGAUGUUAAAAAUGAACAUUUAAGCACAUCAGAGUCCACGUCUCGCAAGGAAGCACAUCAAGAAUCUGGAUUUAAUCUCAAAACCCUACUCUGACACUGUAAUAUUGUGUAUUGUCCAAAGGAGCUUAACAGCUGAAAUCGUAUUGGCAUUGCUUAACUAUCUCAUGGGCAUUUUAGAUGUCUCCCAUUCACACCGAAGGAGAAAUAUUCUCGGUGUUAUGUGUUAUAAAAGCAGAACACCGGCUUGUCAAUGAAUUGAUCCAUUCCCUAAUAUCAACAAGCAUAGGACCAACAAGGAUUUUAUUUUCCUUGGUGCCAUCAGAAGCAGACCUUGUUCUCGGGUUUUUGCUAAUGCUUUACCAAUUAUGUUGCUGACGGUGUCAGAAAUGUACGUACAGUAGCCCAAAAUCUCACACUGCUGCUUUCCAGCAGCCCCCAGCCACCCGCCCACUAAGCCCUGCCAGGUGCAGGCUGAACCCACUGCUCGGUGCAGGUCGGCUCUGGUGCCAUCACCCACAGGAAUAUGCAAUAAUGUGCAAACAGAAGAUAAAGGUGAGACUUCACAAACGUAUCCUGAUUCAAAUGCUUUUAAGAAAAGGAGAGCACACUCCUACAGAUGACUUCUAUUUAAGCAGGAACAAGCCUCUCUGCUAACCUGCUGGAUCUCUACCCAUGGCCAGCAAUCUUUGCAUUUCACGUCCGUGUUCUGAGGUGGUUUUUCAACAAAUUUACAGAGGAAGGAUGAAAGAAAUCACGUUGCAUUGCCACGCUAACAGCCGUGACUGACUGCCCUGCAUCCUGAGCUGCGUGGCUCCAGCUGUUCCCAACCCACAGCACUGACAGGAAACCACAGCCUGUCCUGCGGGUGGGGAUAAAUGAAAACCACAGUGUUCUGGGGCAAGGAAAUCCAUGUCUGGGACAAGAGACAGAGCUGGAAUCCGCUCUUAAACGCACGUCCUCUGAGAACUUUCUGGGAAUGCUUUGCCUUCCGCUGUCUGCCUGUCUGUUAUCCUAGUGAAGGGGAGAAGGAAUGAAGAGAGUGAUGCAGGUGACAGAGCGGUGCGAGGAAUCCAUGCAUUGUCAGACAGCUAAUGACCACAGCAGGCUACUGACGUGGGCAAAGCAAGUCGAGGGACUGGCCUUCUGCCCUGCUCACUCACACUGGCCCCAUGGGUCCGGCUCAUGCCAUGACGGGUAUUGAUCACAGGCAACUGCAAAGCUGCACGUUGCUUUGUGGAAGAGUUUUUGCUCACUUUGCAUCUUGUGUAACCCCUUACACUUGUGCAAGGCACUAGAGAAUCAGGCACAUCAGGGUGGAAACAAUUGUUAUGAAUACGAUGACUGGAGUUUGUAAUGUCCAGUAGCUGCUAUUUCAUAGAGAAGCAGGUGGAACACAAUCACAUUUUCAAACUGCAUUUCUUAGAAUACCUCUUUUUCCAGAAUUUUUGUUGUUGUUGUUGUUGUUUAGGGGUGGAAUAAAUGGGGACUUUUAUCUCUCCUAUGAGGAAAGGCUGGGGGAACUGGGUUUGUUUAGCUUGGAGAAGGUUCCAGGGAGACCUCAUUCUGGCCUUCAAAUAUUUGAAGGGAGCGUAAAAACAGGAGGGGAAAUGGCUGCUUAUGAGGGUGGAUAGCGACAGGACAAGGGGGAAUGGUCUUAAACUGAGACAGGGGAAGUUUGGGUUAGAUAUUAGGAGGAAGGUUUUCACACAGAGGGUGGUGACACAAUGGAACAGGUUGCCCAAGGGGGUUGUGGAUGCCCCAUCCCUGGAGGCAUUCAAGGCCAGGCUGGAUGUGGCUCUGGGCAGCCUGGUCUGGUGGUUGGUCACUUUGCCCACGGAAGGGGGUUGAAACUCAAUUAUCACUGUGGUCCUUUUCAACCCAGGCCAUUCUAUGAUUCUAUGAUUCUAUGACAUGGAAGAUAGCUUUGUUCAAGCAAGAAAACUAAAGAAAAGAUUUGGGAGCUAUGCUGCUGAUAGCCACUGGGACACUGAUGCGGACAGCUUCUCUAAGCAGCACCAACAGCAGUACGUGACAGUACACUGCUAACACAGAUCCUUCCAUCCUUACACCUCAGGGAGAGGUCCCACUCUUGCCACAUGUACACACACACCCAUGCACCCGCAGCACACAGACACUGUGCGAAGAGCUCUGGCUACUGCUCCUGACUUUUGGAAGGUCAGACAUGGCCUAUAAACUACGAACACAGAAAUUACAGGACAUGGUGGGUACUGAUGAUGAGAAAUGAGCAAAGGUUUGAGCAGCCCUUCAAGGCAGUUCCUCCUUAGGAAACAAAGGAUCUUACUCGUUCUGGAAGGACCGCGCAGAACUUGGACACAAAGCAGGUAUCAGCAGAACAGUAAGAGAGCGCGAAACAGCACUGAAGCGAUACAUGGAAAAAUGGAAGAAGUUGCUCCAGAUGGCGCCUGGUAAUGGCAGGACAGGCAGCAAUCUGAGCUUGAGACCUGAAGCACUGGGGAAGGCCCCAGGCAGCACAAGGGCUGUGCCACCCCAGACCACAAGCGAGACGCAGCUCUAGGAAUGCCACAGCCUAAGGAUGCCAAACUCAUUCAAUAUAAACUCUGCUGAUUGCCAUUGGUGUGAAAAUACGGAUUGUUUAACUCUGUCCUGGCAGGAUUUAUGGCAGAUGAAGCAUUUUCUGGUCUCAGCUUCUUAACAAAAUCUCUCUAUCACACCUGAUGAUUUGCAGCCCUUGUGCCUAUACGUAAUCUGUAUGAAACGUGUACCAGAGGGCGAUCUGUGCUGACAACACCCCCCAUCUUCUGUGCAGAAAUCUAUAAAGAAUAAUCUUAUUACAGUAAUUCAUAAAGUGCCCUCAGGAAAGGUGCUCACGAUGCCAUGACAUUAAGAAAAUAACAUACAUUCUAAUACAUUAUUUUUACAAAAUCCUCCAAAGCAAACAGGCAAAACACAAAAGGAGGGGAAGAACAAAUAUAUAAGCAAAUACUGAAGGUCUUACGAUAGCCACAUUAAUUAUGAAAUGCUUUAUAAUCGGUCUAGCAGUGCUUGUAAAAAUAGGGGCAAAUUGGCAGAAGCAUCUCUGAAGGACCAGGUCUUGUAUGCCCUACCACAGUAAUACACAAAGUGUCAGAAGAUGAAAUUUGGGGCUAUGAAUUACCAGAGGCAUUUUACUAAGGAAACCGAAACAACACAACAUGCAGAGAAAACCCACAUUUUGCUGGGAAAAAAAAACAAAUUUAUAACAGUGGCUAUGGAUACCCAAUCUUUCUCCUCCCAUUUGAUCCCAGAUUUUAUAUAUACAUACAUCUACGUGUGCAUAUAUAUAGACGCACACAUACAUACGUGUAUAUAUUUCAGAGUCUAUCUAUGUUUUUGAGCCUAUCUCCUGUUGUUUUUUUAAAUGACUUACAGAACACAGUAGGCAAAUAGUAAGAAAUUGUGUGCACGCAAGCAUAUCUCGCUGCUUGUGCAUGUAAAUUACACAAUUUGUAAACAACUGCAGAAAUAGCAUGCUCAAAUUAUGCAUCUGAUUGCCCAAUUAACUUGUUUAAAAAGAACCCAGAUGACAUCCUCCAGUAGCUCCUAUUAUAUCCUUCACCUCUCAGUACUGCUUUGCUGAAUUCCUAGCGCGUGUUCUCGACGCCUGCACUGUUGUUCUGUGCUUUCACACAGGCAUAAGCAGCAGUGCAUGCUCAACAAAGCUAUCAAGUGAACUCUGGACCACACUUUAGAAAGCUCUCCGGAUAAUUAAGAGUCCCUUCUCUCAGAGAGGACAAGGCAGAUUAAAUAAUUAACAACAAAAAAAUCUGGUCUGUUUUCAAAUGGUAUGAAGAAAAAAAGCCAGAAAUGUUGGGCCUCAAUGCCUCCAGUAAGAAGCAAAGUUUUGCUUUUCUUUUUUCCCCCUUAAGGUGUCUUGCUUUGUUUAACAGACAAGUGUCAUUUAAUGGUAUACAUUCAUAUCAUAGUAAAUCCUUAUUUUAUUUCUGCAAUGAAAUAAUGGUCAGUUAAUGGUAAUUCCAUAUAAGUUGAGACAGAACACAGCUUCCCACAUUCAGGUGUAUAAUUCCUAAUGGACAGAGACACUGAAGUACUCAAUCCUUCCAACAUCUGCAAGUAUAGAAACCCGUUAAUCUGUUUAUCAAAAUGAGUUAAGAAAUGAACAUUUACCAUACAGAUGUUGUUCCUUUGCUGUAGUACUUCUUUUUCUGAGAUGAUGAUGUGGUAUUUCCUUUACCAUUUUUUUUUUUUGCGCAAAAUAAAUUUUAGCAACUUUAAUACGUAGAAAAAAAAAAAAAGCUGAGCAAACCAUUAUCUUAACCAUCUCUCAAAUAAGAGAAGAGGAAGCAAGAGCAGAACUGCUGGGCUGGAUCGUGUCCCUGAACAGGUACUACAUGGAAUCCUAGUGCAUUUCCCAGCUCUUUACAGGCCUCCUGCAGCAACACGUGUGCUGGUCCAGCCGUCGCUCCUCCCUACCAACAGGGAGAGCGGUAAGAAAAGCUACCGGACCCCCAUUAUAUUCUUAUGGGUUUCCAUCAACCAUCAUUGCGUUUCUUCCCUCCACUCUGGCGGUGACGGAUCUGCUGGUGACUUUACAUUGCUGCUUUUCCUCCUCCAAAGGGUCAAAAUCCAAUUUGGUACGUGAGUUACUCUGUUCCACUCUGCCGGUCUGUGCCUGGUUUAAAAGCCUUCCAGGAGCAGUUUGUCCUUCUGGAAAAUUCUGCCUUUUCUUUUCUCCUAGAAAGAAACAAACAAAAAUCCCAACUCCUUCCCACAGCCCCUUUCCAAAAAUAUAAUCUCAUCGUGAUCGUUCAUAUCAGGAGAAUUAUUUAGCAGUCUCCAGUCUUAGUUACAGCUUUUGUUGAGUAAACUGUAGCUUAUAUGACUCUGAAGUGUUUAUUAGAAAGCUUUCAAAAAGAGAUCUUCGUUUCAGGAAAAGAAAAAAAUGUCCAGUUUAGCAAAUACGGACGUUGGCAGCAAAGAGACUGCAAUGGUUAAAAAUGACCCAAAGGAGCAAAUAGCUCAGAGAGUUAACAAGGAAUUCACUUCUCCUUUUUUAAACGAAAAAAACCCAACACAGAAAAACACUGAUAGCUGCUCCGGUGUCAAUACUUCGUAAGACAGAAUUUUGUUGUGUGUUCUUGGUUUUGCUUUUUAUUUUUUAUUUAUUUUUUUGCUCUAUUGCUCCACACAGGUUUUAAUUAGUGCUUCUCCUUGGCUACAAGUGCUUCACUUGGAAAUACAAAGCUCUCUUUGUAAAAAAAAAAACAACCCAACAAAUCAAAAAACAAAUAAGAAAACAAAAACCCCAACACCACAUCACUGGAGGGAAACGGGAAGUGAUACAGUGCAGGUGUAGCAAUCUGGUCCUGUCGUUGUCCUCCCCCAUCCCUAAAUCCUCUGCAUAACUUUGCUCUUCAGUCGAUGAACCUUUGGCAGGCCUUCUUCCACCGGCAAGCAGUGCACCACAUAUCUCUGUUCUCCAUCCCAUAGACCUUCCGACACUUCUUCCCCUCCCCUCUUGGCUUCCUGUCAGAGAGAAAGGGAAGCUCAUGAACACCACACUUUUGCAGCCUGGCCUUACCUCCCCAGGUCAGGACAACGAGUUCAGCGGCGUGCAGAUGGUUGAGAAUGCCCCAGUUUCUAAGAGACUGCGGUGUGCCUGGGAGCUGACCAAGAGCGAUGAAGCGAGCAGAUGCAUGGCAAGGCUGAAGUCUUCGCAGCAGCUGCUGAGCCUGCUCCCCUCUUCCAAGGCUGGUGCACGGCCCAUACUUGAGCCAGGCUCAGCCUGAUCUAGAUUUGUGUUACUUCAGCCACACGCAGUGCCCACGGUAUAAUGGACAACCACAGCUAUCCCGCAGCACAGCCAGGCUCACAUCGCACACAAGUGCUCUCAGCUGUAGCGCUGCGCUACAAAUAUGCUGCACAGAGCAGAGCAGCAGACCUUGACUGCAAGCAUGCAGCAGAUAUGCAAAAGAGGGGAAGAGCUGCCAGCUCCUAAGUUUGUACAUCCUUCCUGCGUGGUUUGCUGAGCUCACAGACUGAACAACAUCCAGGCAAUUAAAAACAAGUUUCAGCCCUCAGCUGCAACGUGCUCACGUGUGCUCUUUUCCUCCCUGAAGCCAGCAAGGCAGGCAGUGCCUGCUUUUAAAGCCACUGUGAUUGCCAUGUACUCCAUCCUACCACCAUACUUAGAGCUCACAAGAGAAGUGCAGAAAAUGGUUAAGGUGACUGUUAAGGAACCUCUACUCAACACGUAGCAAACUUGAGGGGCAAUGCUACAAGGUGCGACCCAAUGCUCAUUACAGCAGUGCUGCCAGACCUGGAGCCCUUAAAUCAAGUGAGUGUACAGGCACAACUGCUUAAUACCUGCAUGAGAUACUGCAUGGCACGCAGGAGCUGCCUUGUGAUUAUUCUCUUGCAUAUAUAUGCAUUUUUUGAUUACUGACAAUGGGCACAGUCCACAAAUUGGGAACACCCCGAGUUCCAUUUGUAGCACAUGCAAUGAUCCGAGAGUCACACUGAAAUCGGAAAGCAUAAAAUCUUCCUUGUGCUUUCUGUUGUCUUUUUAGGGUUCAGUCACCUUUUAGGACUGUGAGAAACAAAGAGUUUCUUUACUACAAGAAAUCCAGCAUUGCAGUUUGAUUUUUUAACACAACUUUUUGAACUUUUUAUUCAAAGCAGACUCCAUUCCAUCAUUAAUGGAAGUGACUGCAGCUCCCAUUUAGGAAGAUAAGGCACAAAGCUUCGCUCCAUCUAAUUUACUGUAAGAUACAUUUUUACUCAUCUGACUGGAGUCAAACACCACACUGGAUGUAUGGAGAUGAACUCACCAGACAGCCCAGCAUUUCAGAGAAAAAAGCAACGAAGUUCAAGAUGCUUCAACUGGAACAGUGGAUCUGCAUACCACUGCUUUACAGGGGAGUUUAGAUGUGCAUGUGAACUCCAGAUCUACCUGGCGUAAGGCCUGCAGUUCUCCCUCACAGUCUGUGCCCUUUUCAUUCCUCAACAACUCAUUCUUCCCCAGAACUUUACUUUCGGUGCUAAUGAAAAGCAUAGAUGGGUUAUCCUGAAAUAUCCCAGUAAGAAGCUGCCUGACAACUGCAAGCACAGUUGGUGCUGUAGUUCUUCUGUUUCUGUGGCCACCAACAUCUUAUUUACUAAACACCCCCCAGGGUCUGAAGCUGCUGGUCUGUCUGCAGGAGCCAAUGGUCCCAUACCUCAAUCCAAACGCUACUCUGGGUGGUGAUGACAGAACUGUGUGGGACUGCUUCUGCUCUCCACUCCCGGCAGGACGAUUGUGAGUUGGUGAGACCUGUCAGUACAGACAAAAAGGUCACUUAUGAACUGCAUGCAGACAUGAAUGCAAUAAAAACACACCUUUAAAUCUAUGGCAACCAAACUGCUGCCAUAUGUCACAAGUACAUAGAACUGCUUCCAGAAGAAGUAAUUUGUGACACACAGCGGCUGACGUACCAAGGAGAGUGUGGAUAAUUGCACUUUUAGACUCCCAACACUACUGGCACCAAUUUCUGCUACUCCACAGAAGGAGCCAGCUUCGUAAUUGCUCUGUAUCAACCCCAUUGUUGUGAAAUCAAAUACUCGAGGAACCUCACAGAUAGCGCGCUCUGUCAAGGCGCUCUUGUUCAAAUUGCUGACAGCAUGAUGUCUUUCACUACCUGCAGGAUACCACAGUCUGAGAAAAUCUCCAAGAUUUGCCAAAGGUUGACGUUAAGAAGCUUUGGAGAUUCACUUGGUGAAGAAAAGGGAGGGAAAUAGCAUCUGUUAUCACCAUGUCUAAUAUUCACUGGCGGUAGGAAAAAAAGCUAUAUGGUUCUUUAAAUGAGCAAUGUGUGUUAUGCAAUACAUUGUAAAAAUUCAGAAAGCACAAUAUUAAAUGAAACAAUAUCAGAUGAAGUGAGUUUAUGAUUAGGGGAUCUUAAUUUAUAACGAAAAAUACUUUCCAAUAAAAAUUACAAUAAAUUUUAUGUAUAUUUAUUUCCCCUUGUUACAUAAAAGAUCUUCCAUUACUUGAAGGCAGCGAUUAUGUUUAUUCUUAGCACUCACCAUGCUAGGCAGUGGACACCUAAUCCCUCUGAAGCUUUCACUAAGGUUUUUACUUCCCCCUUCAGCAUCCACACCUAUACUGCCUUACAUUUAGCACUACUGGAAACCUGUGUUUCAGCAAACAGCCAAGUUCUGCAGUUCUGUAAGAAAAUACGGCCUCAUACAUUAUCUAUUUGUAGAAAGGGCCAGAGUUGACUGCAUCUAAUCCUUCAUUAAAAAGUUGUCGCACUGCAACACGUAUUCAUAUUAAAAAUAAUAUAAAAAGUAUUUAAUGUAUUACAUGCAUCUUUUGUGCAAAAUUACAGAAUUUUCUGCUGUCAGUAGAGGCCGCAUCCCUGUAGCCUAUUGGGGUCACACUUCAUACCUUAUUUUUCCUUUCUGCUGCCUUUCAACUAUACUUCGUCUUCAGAGUCCAUUUAGAUAACAGCCCUAUUGCUUGAUUCCAAUUACCCUGUUAACAUAACCACUGCCUUGUUAAUUUUCUCUCUAGCCUCAUAAGCAAUCUCUUAGUGGCAGAAAAACAAGCAUGUAGUGACGGGUUCUGCACCUACCAGAAAAUCCUUCUGUAAGCAGGGAUUUUAAAAAACAUACUAUCAAUUCAGUUCUCUGCUUGUAGUCACCAAGACAAAAAAAAAAAAAAAAGACAAAAAUCACUGUAUUGCAUUUAAGGGAAUUGCAAGAGGGUACAAUCAGUCAAGCGAGCAAACUGGGGCAUAAUUUAACUUGUUUCUGUUCUGUACCUGUCAAAAUUCCUACUGUUAUGAGACACUGUGAAAACACACUAAAAACUUUUUUUCCCUUCUUUUUUUUUUUUGUCAUUCACUUACUGGAA